CUUUAAGAGUCCUGAAGGAACGUUGAAGACGACGACGUUGAUAGGCCGGGUGUGUAAGCGCAGCGAUGCGUUGAGCUAACCGGUACUAAUGAACCGUGAGGCUUAACCUU
rnacentral:rRNA from 1 species